GAAUGCGACCACUUCAGGCAUCUGACGGUGGUGGAAAGUWCCGGCGGUGAAGGAUGAGCUCGCGGCCUAUCAUCUUGUUGGCGAGGUAAUGGCUCACCAAGGCUUCGACGGGUAGCCGGCCUGAGAGGGUGACCGGCCACACUGGGACUGAGACACGGCCCAGACUCCUACGGGAGGCAGCAGUGGGGAAUAUUGGACAAUGGGCGAAAGCCUGAUCCAGCAACGCCGCUGUGAGGGAUGACGGCCUUCUGGCUGUAAACCUCUUUCAGCAGGGACGAAGCGAAAGUGACGGUACCUGCAAAAGAAGCACCGGCCA
rnacentral:rRNA from 1 species